GAAAUGCGAUAAUUAAUGUGAACUGCAGAAUUCAGUGAAUCAUCGAGUCUUUGAACGCACAUUGCGCCCCCUGGUAUUCCGGGGGGCAUGCCUGUCCGAGCGUCAUUGCUGCCCUCAAGCACGGCUUGUGUGUUGGGCUUCCGUCCCUGGCAACGGGGACGGGCCCAAAAGGCAGUGGCGACACCAUGUCUGGUCCUCGAGCGUAUGGGGCUUUGUCACCCGCUCCCGUAGGUCCAGCUGGCAGCUAGCCUCGCAACCAAUCUUUUUAACCAGGUUGACCUCGGAUCAGGUAGGGAUACCCGCUGAACUUAAGC
rnacentral:misc_RNA from 1 species